CCUACGGGUGGCAGCAGUGAGGAAUAUUGGUCAAUGGACGAGAGUCUGAACCAGCCAAGUAGCGUGAAGGAUGACUGCCCUAUGGGUUGUAAACUUCUUUUAUAUGGGGAUAAAACGUUCCACGUGUGGGAUUUUGUAUGUACCAUAUGAAUAAGGAUCGGCUAACUCCGUGCCAGCAGCCGCGGUAAUACGGAGGAUCCGAGCGUUAUCCGGAUUUAUUGGGUUUAAAGGGAGCGUAGGUGGAUUGUUAAGUCAGUUGUGAAAGUUUGCGGCUCAACCGUAAAAUUGCAGUUGAAACUGACAGUCUUGAGUACAGUAGAGGUGGGCGGAAUUCGUGGUGUAGCGGUGAAAUGCUUAGAUAUCACGAAGAACUCCGAUUGCGAAGGCAGUUCACUGGACUGCAACUGACACUGAGGCUCGAAAGUGUGGGUAUCAAACAGGAUUAGAUACCCCUGUAGUC
rnacentral:rRNA from 1 species